CGGAACUAACCGACUGCUUAACAUUGAUGUAGUGAUAGGACUGACCCAAGGAAAAUAAGUGGGAUAGAACAUUAAGAACUAUGUGAACAGGAGCAGUUAAGGGAUCAAGAUCCCUCUCCAAACACCAGCUAUUCCAUUUCCACUCCAAUUCCAUGGUGCAAGGUAGCAUCUUCUAGUGCCAGGAGUCCAUGAGUUUCAUAACGGGUCCUUAGAUCUCUGUGAUAGACCAUCAACAUUCCAGGAACCCUGGAAAGCGUCCAAGCCACCAGAUGCAAGUGGUCUUGCAGGACCAGAGGAUUAGGGUUCCCCAGGGGAUUAGUUAGGAGCAGAGGAAAGGGCAGAAGUGGAUCCUCGUGAGAAAGUUUCAGAAGGUCUGGAAACUAUGUCUGAUUAUCAAAGUGAAGUAAUCAGCAGAACUGAUACCAACUGCAAUUAGAUUUGAUGUAUGACACUCACAAUAAUGGCAAAUGUGGGAAAAACAUUGGCCCUUUGCUGCUGCCAAUCUUGCUGAAAGCUGCCCACCACUGCAGAGUCUGGAUUUUCUUCCUCUAGCUUAGUGGCACCCAAACUUUUUAGAUUCAAG